GUGGAUUAGAUACCCUGGUAGUCCACGCCCUAAACGAUGUCAACUAGGUGUUGGGGAAGGAGACUUCUUUAGUACCGCAGCUAACGCGUGAAGUUGACCGCCUGGGGAGUACGGUCGCAAGAUUAAAACUCAAAGGAAUUGACGGGGACCCGCACAAGCGGUGGAUUAUGUGGAUUAAUUCGAUGCAACGCGAAAAACCUUACCUACCCUUGACAUGUCAGGAAGUUUCCAGAGAUGGAUUCGUGCCCGAAAGGGAACCUGAACACAGGUGCUGCAUGGCCGUCGCCAACU
rnacentral:rRNA from 1 species